CGGCACGGGUGAGUAACGCGUAUGCGACCUGCCCGUUGCAGGGGGAUAAUCGGGAGAAAUCCCGUCUAAUACCGCGUAAUGCCGCGGGGCUGCAUGGCCCUGCGGCCAAAGGGAGCGAUUCCGGCAACGGAUGGGCAUGCGUGACAUUAGCUUGUUGGCGGGGUAACGGCCCACCAAGGCGACGAUGCGUAGGGGUUCUGAGAGGAAGGUCCCCCACACUGGUACUGAGACACGGACCAGACUCCUACGGGAGGCAGCAG
rnacentral:rRNA from 1 species